rnacentral:rRNA from 1 species
GAAGUGGUGCAUGGCCAUCGUCAGCUCGUACCGUGAGGCGUGCCGUUAAGUCGGUUAACGAGCGAGACCCACAUUUCAUGUUGCUACUGCUUUCUUCGGAAGGCAAGCACUCAUGCGAGACCGCUGGUGAUAAACCAGAGGAAGGUGUGGGCGAAGGUAGGUCAGUAUGCCCUGAAUUUCCUGGGCCACACGCGCUGCACAAUGCGUGCCACAAUGGGAUGCAACUCCGAAAGGAGAAGCAAAUCCCCUAAAAGCACGCCCAGUUCCGAUUGAGGGUUGUAACUCAUCCUCAUGAAGCCGGAAUCCCUAGUAGGCGAAUGUCACUAAAUGCUGUAGAGUAAUCUAUAGUUAUGUGAAAUCGUUCGCCGAAUACGUCCCUGCUCCUUGCACACACCGCCCGUCAAGCCAAUCGAGUGGAAGUUCAUCGAGGCU